rnacentral:rRNA from 1 species
UACGAAGGGGGCUAGCGUUGUUCGGAAUUACUGGGCGUAAAGCGCACGUAGGCGGUUAUUUAAGUCAGGGGUGAAAUCCUGGAGCUCAACUCCAGAACUGCCUUUGAUACUGAAGAUCUUGAGUUCGGGAGAGGUGAGUGGAACUGCGAGUGUAGAGGUGAAAUUCGUAGAUAUUCGCAAGAACACCAGUGGCGAAGGCGGCUCACUGGCCCGAUACUGACGCUGAGGCACGAAAGCGUGGGGAGCAAACAGG